rnacentral:lncRNA from 1 species
CUCGUCGUCGAGCAGCCCGGCAACCCCAUCCUCUACUCCACCGAUGCGUGCCCUGGCCGAGAUCGGUGGUGUCCAGGCCCCCAUCUCAACUGCGAUUCCUGGAUCCGCAUGAAAACCUCCUCUCCGCUCCAUCUCUCACAUGAUGGGCCCCCAGGGAGACCUCGCCGGUGAGCCAUCCUGAACGUGUCUGCCAACUCCUAUGUGUUUGGUGCGUCCGUCAGAGAACAAGCAGAUCCAGGUCCUUUUCCCCUCUUUGAAGCCCUCCCACUUAUAAUAGAAGGUAUCGGCAGUGCAUCAAUCCCCUCCCCUUCGAAUAUUGUUUUUCCUUGGUUACUAUUGUUCUCCGUGUGAUAAUCUUUAAUUUCAAAAUUGUAAUAGGUGUCUAGUGUUGUGUGUGGAAUAUUCAUAGUUACACAUGUCCAAUGUGCGCCAAAUAUUGACUAUUGUUGGCGUGAAAUUGUUCUAUCCAAGUACUACAUCAUUAAAUCAUCACGUGUUUUUGGUUUUGUGAUCAUCCAAACUUCCAUAGCUAUGUUGACGACUGUCGUUUUUAUUUUUUAUUUUCUAGUGUCGAAGUUCAAUGCUUCUAAUGAAGUUGAGAAUUGUUAAGAUAUUAACCUUUACAUGGUUCCUACGUAUGUGUAGCUUCCAAAGUAUAUUAUAAAUGUAUAUAUAUUUUUCUCCUGAAAAUGCUAACAAUUAUUGUUAAAUUUUCAGUAUUGUUGACAAAAAGAUAUAUCUGCAUGUUGGUGUCUACCUUGUUUAAUUUUCAUAUAAAUUUUAUCUUCUAGUUAAAUUGGCUACUAUUGACAUACAACAUGCAUCCCACGAACAAUUCCUCAACUGGAACACUCUUUUCAUGCUUCAUAUUCAUUUAUUGUAACUACAAAAUUCCAUGCUUGCAGAUAAUAACGCUUAUUCUGUUACUUAAACUAUCUUUUCAUUCUUCUUUGUCAUUGAGCUUUAUUUCUUUGGGCUAGAUUUCCAUUUCCAAUGCUCCAUGCUUCAACUACAGAUGAAUCAUAUGUAUACAAUAUAUUUUCAUGGUUCCUGCAAAUUGUGCUUCCGAAUCACACCUCAAUUGCUUCAACCAAUAUUAGUUUGUGCUACGACGACGGAAACAUUGCUUCUUAUAAUAAAAUUAUUGUUCAUAUAUUUUCCUUCUUGCAACAAAUUUUUUUUGAACCACUACCAACCUAUGCUUCAUUGAAUCUCAUUUAUGUUUCCAUGAAAAACAUACAAGAUGCUCCUAAAAUUUACUUAUAUAUGUUUCCAUGGUAGUGAAUCCCGGCUUCAAGCAUUGCCAUAUGUGUGCUUUUGUUGCUGUCUACACAUAUUCGUUCGAGCAAGUGAGUGCUUGAACCAACACCAGUUAUUCUUCUUUCAGAUAUUAUUGUGCAUGCUUCUUGCGGCAAUAUGUUUGUUUCCAACCGCUCUUGAUGUUAGCUUAUUGUUUGUUUCCCAUAUUUUUCCUACCCGAUUAAGGCGCAUCUUUAUUUUCAACAGAACGCUACUUAUGUUGAGUGCGCUGGACCAGAGAUCACUUCUUAUCGGAGGCUACCUUGUUGAAGAACUCGUGACGUGUGAGGAGCUCUUGUGUGAUCAGUAAUUGAAAAUGUACAUCGGAGCUGCCUACGUAUAAGUGAAAUUAGUGGUGUUGUAGAAAGAAUUGUAUAUUGUUUGUAUCAGAUGAAUUUGAGGUGAUGUAUAUUCUUGUUUUGUGUUUCGGGCAAUUCCUUUGACCAAACAAAUGUUUCUAUCAAAUGUGAAUAUUUUCUUUGGUACAAUAAAUAAUUUU